rnacentral:rRNA from 1 species
GAUGAACGCUAGCGACAGGCUUAACACAUGCAAGUCGAGGGGCAGCAUGAACUUAGCUUGCUAAGUUUGAUGGCGACCGGCGCACGGGUGAGUAACGCGUAUGCAACUUACCUAUCAGAGGAGAAUAGCUCAUCGAAAGAUGAAUUAAUGCUCCAUAAAACAGGGGUCCCGCAUGGGAAUAUUUGUUAAAGAUUUAUCGGUGUACGAUGGGGAUGCGUUCCAUUAGGUAGUAGGCGGGGUAACGGCCCACCUAGCCAACGAUGGAUAGGGGUUCUGAGAGGAAGGUCCCCCACAUUGGAACUGAGACACGGUCCAA